CUACGGGCCGCUGCAGUGGGGAAUAUUGGACAAUGGGGGAAACCCUGAUCCAGCAAUGCCGCGUGUGUGAAGAAGGCCUGCGGGUUGUAAAGCACUUUCGGUUGGGAGGACUGCUUCUAGCACUAAUAUUGUUGGAAGUUGACGUUACCUUCAGAAGAAGCACCGGCUAACUCCGUGCCAGCAGCCGCGGUAAUACGGAGGGUGCAAGCGUUAAUCGGAAUUACUGGGCGUAAAACGCGCGUAGGCGGCUAGAUCAGUCGGGUGUGAAAGCCCCGGGCUUAACCUGGGAACUGCAUCCGAUACUGUCUAGCUUGAGUACAGGAGAGGAGAGUGGAAUUCCACAUGUAGCGGUGAAAUGCGUAGAUAUGUGGAGGAACACCAAUGGCGAAGGCAGCUCUCUGGCCUGAUACUGACGCUGAGGUGCGAAAGCGUGGGGAGUAAACAGGAUUAGAUACCCCUGUAGUC
rnacentral:rRNA from 1 species